UUCCGGUUGAUCCUGCCGGAGGUUACUGCUAUCGGUGUUCGCCUAAGCCAUGCGAGUCAUAUGUAGCAAUACAUGGCGUACUGCUCAGUAACACGUGGAUAACCUGCCCUUGGGACCGGCAUAACCCCGGGAAACUGGGGAUAAUUCCGGAUAACGCAUAUUUGCUGGAAUGCUUUAUGCGUCAAAAGGAUUCGUCUGCCCAAGGAUGGGUCUGCGGCCUAUCAGGUAGUAGUGGGUGUAAUGUACCUACUAGCCAGCGACGGGUACGGGUUGUGAGAGCAAGAGCCCGGAGAUGGAUUCUGAGACAUGAAUCCAGGCCCUACGGGGCGCAGCAGGCGCGAAAACUUUACAAUGCGGGAAACCGUGAUAAGGGGACACCGAGUGCCAGCAUCAUAUGCUGGCUGUCCGGAUGUGUAAAAUACAUCCGUUAGCAAGGGCCGGGCAAGACCGGUGCCAGCCGCCGCGGUAACACCGGCGGCCCGAGUGGUGAUCGUGAUUAUUGGGUCUAAAGGGUCCGUAGCCGGUUUGGUCAGUCCUCCGGGAAAUCUGAUAGCUUAACUAUUAGGCUUUCGGGGGAUACUGCCAGACUUGGAACCGGGAGAGGUAAGAGGUACUACAGGGGUAGGAGUGAAAUCUUGUAAUCCCUGUGGGACCACCUGUGGCGAAGGCGUCUUACCAGAACGGGUUCGACGGUGAGGGACGAAAGCUGGGGGCACGAACCGGAUUAGAUACCCGGGUAGUCCCAGCCGUAAACGAUGCUCGCUAGGUGUCAGGCAUGGCGCGACCGUGUCUGGUGCCGCAGGGAAGCCGUGAAGCGAGCCACCUGGGAAGUACGGCCGCAAGGCUGAAACUUAAAGGAAUUGGCGGGGGAGCACAACAACGGGUGGAGCCUGCGGUUUAAUUGGAUUCAACGCCGGG
rnacentral:rRNA from 1 species